rnacentral:rRNA from 1 species
CCUACGGGAGGCAGCAGUGAGGAAUAUUGGUCAAUGGACGAGAGUCUGAACCAGCCAAGUAGCGUGAAGGAUGACUGCCCUAUGGGUUUUAAACUUUUUUUAUAUGGGAAUAAAAUGUUACGCGUGUGGACUUUUUUAUGUACCAUAUGAAUAAGAAUCGGCUAACUCCGUGCCAGCAGCCGCGGUAAUACGGAGGACCGGGGCGUAAUCCGGAUUUAUUGGGUUUAAAGGGAGCGUAGGUGGGUUGUUAAGUCAGUUGUGAAAGUUUGCGGCUCAACCGUAAAAUUGCAGUUGAAACUGGCAGUCUUGAGUACAGUAGAGGUGGGCGGAAUUCGUGGUGUAGCGGUGAAAUGCUUAGAUAUCACGAAGAACUCCGAUUGCGAAGGCAGCUCACUGGACUGCAACUGACACUGAGGCUCGAAAGUGUGGGUAUCAAACAGGAUUAGAUACCCCAGUAGUC